rnacentral:misc_RNA from 1 species
GAUGAAGAACGUAGCGAAAUGCGAUAACUAAUGUGAAUUGCAGAAUUCCGUGAAUCAUCGAGUCUUUGAACGCACAUUGCGCCCCCUGGUAUUCCGGGGGGCAUGCCUGUCCGAGCGUCAUUGCUGCCCAUCAAGCACGGCUUGUGUGUUGGGUCCUCGUCCCCCCCGGGGGACGUGCCCGAAAGGCAGCGGCGGCACCGCGUCCGGUCCUCGAGCGUAUGGGGCUUUGUCACCCGCUCUGCAGGCCCGGCCGGCGCUGGCCGACGCGAAAGCUACCAUUUUUUCUCCAGGUUGACCUCGGAUCAGGUAGGGAUACCCGCUGAACUUAAGCAUAUCAAUAAGCGGAGGA